rnacentral:rRNA from 1 species
CAGUCGCCGCGGGAAUACAGAGGGUGCAAGCGUUAAUCGGAAUUACUGGGCGUAAAGCGCGCGUAGGUGGUUUGUUAAGUUGGAUGUGAAAUCCCCGGGCUCAACCUGGGAACUGCAUCCAAAACUGGCAAGCUAGAGUAUGGUAGAGGGUGGUGGAAUUUCCUGUGUAGCGGUGAAAUGCGUAGAUAUAGGAAGGAACACCAGUGGCGAAGGCGACCACCUGGACUGAUACUGACACUGAGGUGCGAAAGCGUGGGGAGCAAACAGGAUUAGAUACCCGAGUAGUCCCUGUCUCUUAUAA